GCCUGGGUAGCUCAGCGGUAGAGCAGCUGUUUUGUAAACAGCAGGUCAGGAGUCCGAAUCUCCUCUCAGGCU
rnacentral:tRNA from 1 species